AGAGAGGGCUGCGGACAGGGAUGCAUCUCUACCGGUAAAGGAACACAGCCACGGCUUGCCAGGGAAGGGACUAGAGAAGCAAAUAUCCCGACCUUUCUCAGCAACCAUCUCCCCAUCCCAUACCAGUGCCUGCCGUCGGGUGAUCUAACUGCAAGCAAAAGGCAGCAGGGAAUGUUUGAAGAUUUCUGUGGCCAGUCUCCUAGGAAUGUGAGCACUGUGAGGAAAGCUGGAACAUGGAUCUGGAGGGACAAACGGAGAACGUCCGGGACAGGAAGAGUAGUGGGAAACGAGUCAGAGAGAGAGGUGCCAUCCGUGCAUCUGGACAUUGCAAGGUGAGGAAUAGAAAAAGGUGCCCAGGAAAGCAGAAUGUGCCUACCACCCACAACAGAGAUAAAAUCUCAGUUCCAGCCAAGAAGUGUACACAGAAAUACCUCCAAGCAAAACCAGAUCUGCCUGUCCUCAGAGAUAAUCAGAAGGAUUCCUUUCAGUUGCCUCAGACCAAGAGCAGCCUGGCUACAUUUUUUGCCUCUUGCUUCUCAACUGGCUGGCAUUUUCAUAGACUUACAUUUUAAAAGGCUGUUUACUUAGGAACAAAAAAUGAAGUUACAUACUCAAUUAAUUUUAACUUUAUGAUAUUUGGCUUCAUUGUCUAAUAAUCUAUUUUUUCUUUUUUUUCUUUUUUUUUUUUUGAGAUGGAGUCUCAUUCUGUCACCCAGGCUGGCGCGCAGUGACGUGAUCUCGGCUCACUCCAACCUCCACCUACCAGGUUCAAGGAAGCAACUCUCCUGUCUCAGCCUCCCAAGUAGCUGGGACUACCGGUGCACGCCACCACACCCGGCUAAUUUUUGUAUUUUUAGUAGAGAGGGGGUUUCAUCAUAUUAGUCAGGCUGGUCUAGAAUUCCUGACCUCAGGUGAUCCACCAGCCUCAACCUCCCAAAGUGCUGGGAUUACAGGCAUGAGCCACCACGCCCAGCCUAAUAAUCUAUUUUAAUAAUUAAAAAAUAGUGUCUCUCUCGUUCUUUUUCCUGUGUGUUUUUAUUGAUAAAUUUCAAUGCUUUGAGCAAAUAAAACAUUUCCCCAUUC
rnacentral:lncRNA from 1 species